AACUAGCCCUGAUAGUAGCGGUUACCCCGCAAUAAGCAUGUGAGAGCCCGGGCUUGCCUACCGGAGUGGCCGGCAUGAGGAGUAGGAGCAGAUAGAAGGAAUAGCU
rnacentral:misc_RNA from 1 species